rnacentral:tRNA from 1 species
AGGGCUUUAAGAUAACCAAUCUGAAGGCCUUCAAAGCCUUAUAUAGAGGUUAAACCCCUCUAAGCCCUG